rnacentral:rRNA from 1 species
AUUGAACGCUGGCGGCAUGCCUUACACAUGCAAGUCGAACGGCAGCGCGGGAGCAAUCCUGGUGGCGAGUGGCGAACGGGUGAGUAAUGCAUCGGAACGUGCCAUUGAGUGGGGGAUAACGUAGCGAAAGUUACGCUAAUACCGCAUAUUCUGUGCGCAGGAAAGCAGGGGAUCGCAAGACCUUGCGCUCUUUGAGCGGCCGAUGUCAGAUUAGCUAGUUGGUGAGGUAAAGGCUCACCAAGGCGACGAUCUGUAGCGGGUCUGAGAGGAUGAUCCGCCACACUGGGACUGAGACACGGCCCAGACUCCUACGGGAGGCAGCAGUGGGGAAUUUUGGACAAUGGGCGCAAGCCUGAUCCAGCCAUGCCGCGUGAGUGAAGAAGGCCU